rnacentral:misc_RNA from 1 species
CAAUUGUAUUGUAUCAAAUUAAUAUUCACAGAGUUCCCAAUCAAAAUCAAGCCAAGAAACAAAAAUAACAAGACAAAUGGGAAAAAGGAACCUAUGAGAUAUCUGAAACGAGACAGACACAACCCAGAACCACAUCUGAUGCCGCUGCAACUAUCAGCACCUUGAUUCAUCCGUGACCGUUAAUGGAGUCCCAUCUAAUACCCACCGUCAUCAUGACCUUGAACUCCUCAAAAUCGAUCAUCCCAUCGCCGUCACUAUCAACCCCACUAAUCAUCUUCUUGCACUCUGCAAUAGAGCAGGGCUCGCCGAGGCUUCCCAUCACUUUAUGCAGCUCCUCAGCAGAAAUCGACCCAUUUCCAUCAAUGUCAUAAACAGAGAAAGCGUCCUUCAAAUUCUCCAGAACAUCAUCGGUAUCCAUCCCUUGUGUGUUCAUCUCCACGAACUCCUGAAAAUCGAUGAACCCAUCUCCAUCUGCGUCGAAUUCCGUAAUCAUCUUCUGCAGUUCCUCCUCGUUGGCCUGGUGGCCAAGGCUAGACAUAAUGGAGCCAAGCUCAGAGGAAGAGAUCUUCCCAUCUCCAUUUACAUCGAAUUUCUUGAAAACUUGUCGGAGUUCUUCAAGCUGGGGUUUGAAUUUGAGGGACUGAGAUCUCGAUCUGGUCAAUGGUGCGACACCGAUAGGUGGAUCGCCGGAAGAAUCAGCUGAUUUCUUGGAUUUCUUGCGGUGGAAAAGCGCUUUAAAGCCCAUAACUAGAGGUGGGUUUCCAAAAAAUAAAGUACAGUUUCCCUGGAAAAUGGGAAUAUCCGUGCGUUGAGAAGGGAAUGGAAAAUUUAUCUGUUCUUUGAUGGAAAUUGCUGUUCUGGAUACUAAAUUUGGAGGUUGCAGAUUGAGAAAGUUUAGGUAUGAUUGCACCACAAAUAUAUUCGAAGGGUGAAAAAUCUAUUGGGUUUGGGCUGGUUCCAACGUGUUCUUGUUGAAUUCUUCAUUCCCAUUUGGAAGGUGUUGGAAUUAUAGUGCUUCCACGUUACUUCUCUACUAUGAAAUUAAUAAUACAUCCUUUCCAAAUUCUAAGAAUUUAG